AACGAACGCUGGCGGCAGGCCUAACACAUGCAAGUCGAGCGAACCCUUCGGGGUUAGCGGCGGACGGGUUAGUAACGCGUGGGAAUAUACCCUUUGGUACGGAAUAGCCUCGGGAAACUGAGAGUAAUACCGUAUGUGCCCUUCGGGGAAGGAUUAUCGCCAAGGAUUAGCCCGCGUUGGAUUAGAUAGUUGGUGGGGUAAGUGGCCUACCAAGUCUACGAUCCAUAGCUGGUUUGAGAGGAUGAUCAGCAACACUGGGACUGAGACACGGCCCAGACUCCUACGGGAGGCAGCAGUGGGGAAUCUUAGACAAUGGGCGCAAGCCUGAUCUAGCCAUGCCGCGUGGACGAUGAAGGCCUUAGGGUUGUAAAGUCCUUUCAGAUGGGAAGGAUAAUGACGGGUACCAUCAGAAGAAGCCCCGGCUAACUCCGUGCCAGCAGCCGCGGUAAAGUCUGUACU
rnacentral:rRNA from 1 species